rnacentral:lncRNA from 1 species
CUGUUUAAAAAGAAAGCCUUAUAUUAUAUUAUGUGCUACCUUGAGAUCAUCUUGCCCUCACCCUUGUCUUUUUGUAGCUGCUACUGAGGCAACCAGCAGUUUGUGGACUCUCACCAGCACAUGCAGAACCAACAUGGCCAUGCUUCUGGCAGAUCAUGCUGCAGACCUCUCAUCUCCUCUCUGGGGUUUUCUGCUGUAUAUGUACAUGUGCAGUUCAGUGCCCAGCUCAGAAGCAUGCAGGAGUUAACACACCUGAUGAGAGAGACAUUGUGUUACUGAUCCUCUCCAGUUGGGUGGACUCCAACCUUGCCUGGAGCUGCAAGUGCCAGUUGAAUGAGUGGGCAGAGAGGAGCAGAAACUGUAUUUGCUGAUUGAAGAAUGGGAAUGAGAGCGUGCUGUAAAGACACCUUCUCCCCAAAGGGAGGAAAGUUGGGGAGGUUUUGAGAGGUAAGGGGAACAUAUGUCUCUGGGGAAAUGGGUGGUGAUUUCCAGGAAUAGCUAACAUGUGUGCAGCCCCCUUGGUUCCCUCGGACA